UAUAUUUGCCCCGUCGAAUGCCGACAUACAUAAUAAUUAUUUAAACAAAUAUUGGCAUG
rfam:Bacteroidetes bacterium RIFCSPHIGHO2_02_FTLL_44_7 rifcsphigho2_02_scaffold_150336, whole genome shotgun sequence.